CUGUGAAAGCCUGGAAAACCUGCUGCAGAGGAGAGAAGCCUGUUGGUCUGGUGUACCUCCACUGGGCAUGGGUGCAAGGCUCCUGGCCUUGUCUUAACUGCUCUGGACUGUACAAUGAAUGAGCUGUCCAAGGCUUCCCAUUAUUUGGAGGGCGCAGAACCGAUUGGAUCAGCCUGGCAGCCCAUCACCAAUGUCAUCUGCAACCUUCAAGUGCUUUGCAGCUUAAUCUCCUUUGGACCCCCGGAGGGCAUCACGCUGACAUUUUAAACCUUGUAAAUGGCAGCAGCACUGGGAGGCACCGGGAGGAAAGCCAAGCGCUUCAGGAAGAUGCAGGCACAAACCUGCACAUAUGUGAUUGCUGGUUAGGGGUAUGGGGGCCCCUAAACAUGGGAAAGGAGCAAGGGGAGCCUGGUGGAGGUGUAAAACCAGGGAUGGGCCAAGGUGACAGAAGAAAUGGAAAUGAGGAAUAGGCUUUCUGUCUGUUCCUGGCUUGGUUUUCUGAUCAACAGUGGCUCUAUAAAGGAGAUAUGUACCUUGUUACCCAUCCUGGUUCUAUCCCUGCGUGACAGGAUGGACUCAACUCAUCUAGCUUUGCUUGGCCUAAAGCCAAGGCUUGUUUUGGCUCAUGUGGACUCCUGGGACUCUCCAUGGGGACAUCCCAAGGGAAAUAGACUCCAUGCGGCCAGACUAUCACCCACGUGUAGGGAGUGAUGCCCAGGCUGUGCCUCUUCCCCU